CAGCUCGUGCCGUGAGGUGUUGGGUUAAGUCCGCACGAGCGCAACCCUCAUUGUUAGUUACUUACCAUUCAGGUUGAGGACUCUAAUGAGACUGCCAACGACAAGUUGGAGGAAGGUGGGGAUGACGUCAAAUCAUCAUGCCCUUUAUGACCUGGGCUACAAACGUACUACAAUGGCCAAUACAAAGAGAUGCGAAGCGGUGACGUGAAGCGAACCUCAGAAAGUUGGUCUCAGUUCAGAUUGAAGUCUGCAACUCGACUUCAUGAAGGCGGAAUCGCUAGUAAUCGCGGGUCAGCAGACCGCGGUGAAUACGUUCCCGGGUUUU
rnacentral:rRNA from 1 species